rnacentral:rRNA from 1 species
GACGAACGCUGGCGGCGUGCUUAACACAUGCAAGUCGAACGGUGAAGGGACCGGUUUUUGCUGGUUCUGGAUGAGUGGCGAACGGGUGAGUAACACGUGAGUAACCUGCCCCCUUCUUCUGGAUAACCGCAUGAAAGUGUGGCUAAUACGGGAUAUUCUGCGCCUGCUGCAUGGUGGGGUUGGGAAAGAUAUUGUUUCGGUGGGGGAUGGGCUCGCGGCCUAUCAGCUUGUUGGUGGGGUGAUGGCCUACCAAGGCGGGGACGGGUAGCCGGCCUGAGAGGGUGGACGGUCACACUGGGACUGAGACACGGCCCAGACUCCUACGGGAGGCAGCAGUGGGGAAUAUUGCACAAUGGGCGCAAGCCUGAUGCAGCGACGCCGCGUGAGGGAUGGAGGCCUUCGGGUUGUAAACCUCUUUCGCCAGUGAAGCAGGCCUGUCCCUUUUGUGGGUGGGUUGACGGUAGCUGGAUAAGAAGCGCCGGCUAACUACGU